rnacentral:rRNA from 1 species
GGUUGAUCCUGCCAGUAGCAUACGCUUGUCUCAAAGAUUAAGCCAUGCAUGUCUAAGUAUAAACAAAUCUAUACUGUGAAACUGCGAAUGGCUCAUUAUAUCAGUUAUAGUUUAUUUGAUGGUCCUUGCUACUUGGAUAACCGUAGUAAUUCUAGAGCUAAUACAUGCAUCAGACCCCGACUGUUUGGAAGGGGUGUAUUUAUUAGAUGGAAACCAAUGCGGGGCAACCCGGAUUCAGGUGAUUCAUAAUAACUUUCGGAUCGAUCUUCGGAUCGAUGCAUCAUUCAAGUUU